rnacentral:rRNA from 1 species
GAUGAACGCUGGCGGCGUGCCUAAUACAUGCAAGUCGAGCGAACAGAUGAGGAGCUUGCUCCUCUGACGUUAGCGGCGGACGGGUGAGUAACACGUGGAUAACCUACCUAUAAGACUGGGAUAACUACGGGAAACCGGAGCUAAUACCGGAUAAUAUAUUGAACCGCAUGGUUCAAUAGUGAAAGACGGUUUUGCUGUCACUUAUAGAUGGAUCCGCGCCGCAUUAGCUAGUUGGUAAGGUAACGGCUUACCAAGGCAACGAUGCGUAGCCGACCUGAGAGGGUGAUCGGCCACACUGGAACUGAGACACGGUCCAGACUCCUACGGGAGGCAGCAGUAGGGAAUCUUCCGCAAUGGGCGGAAGCCUGACGGAGCAACGCCGCGUGAGUGAUGAAGGUCUUCGGAUCGUAAAACUCUGUUAUUAGGGAAGAACAAAUGUGUAAGUAACUAUGCACGUCUUGACGGUACCUAAUCAGAAAGCCACGGCUAACUACGUG